CAUUUUUGUAUGUUUUUUUUUUCCAGAUUUUUGCACUAGAUCUUGCUAAGUUUCCUGCUUGUUUGAAUGAUGGUGACUAUGAAGUGGGUUGUCUAGUCUGAAUUUGUGAUGUUGGUUUGGAAAUAUCUAAUCAAAGUUGUGCUCAAGAAAUCUGGUCUUGAGGGAAAUGUGCAGCAGAUUUCUUGUUUCGGUUGCUAGAGCAUAUGAAAAUUGCAGAAGUGAAGUUCUUCGUAGCUUGCAUGAAUUGCAUGAAAUAACUUUCGGAAAUUGCCUC
rnacentral:lncRNA from 1 species